rnacentral:rRNA from 1 species
CGUAGGUGAACCUGCGGAAGGAUCAUUACUUUAUGUGAUGUUCAAAUUUAAAUUCGCAAUGAAAUGAUCGUUGUGAAACGGCUGUCGCUGGUGUCUAAGUGUUGCUGAUACGGUUGUGAACGUCCGUGGCUGUAUAUGUGGUGACAUGUUAGGACUCUAAUGAGUUUAAGACCUAAUGAGCCUCUUAAGUGAGGCCGCCAGCAACCUUUUUUUUCUCUACAUUUUAAAAAAAAAACUAAAAUUCUACCCUUAUCGGUGGAUCACUAGGCUCGUGGAUCGAUGAAGAACGCAGCAAACUGCGAUAAUUAUUGCGAACUGCAGAAGUAUUGAGCACAAAAGUUUUGAACGCAAAUGGCCGCAUUGAGGUCAAACUCUUUGCAACGUCUGGUUCAGGGUCAUUUUCUCUUAUAGCGGAAGCUUUAAUUUCUAUAAUGAUGUUGUUGCUUUAUAUUUUAAAAGGAUUUUUGUUUAUUCAUGUAUUAAAUCUAACUGUGAAAAUCAAACAAUUUUGACCUGAACUCAGUCGAGAGCACCCGCUGAACUUAAGCAUAUCAGUAAGCGGAGGAAAAGAAACUAACCAGG